AGCGAACGCUGGCGGCAGGCCUAACACAUGCAAGUCGAACGAACUCUUCGGAGUUAGUGGCGGACGGGUGAGUAACACGUGGGAACGUGCCUUUAGGUUCGGAAUAACUCAGGGAAACUUGUGCUAAUACUGAAUGUGCCCUUCGGGGGAAAGAUUUAUCGCCUUUAGAGCGGCCCGCGUCUGAUUAGCUAGUUGGUGAGGUAACGGCUCACCAAGGCGACGAUCAGUAGCUGGUCUGAGAGGAUGGCCAGCCACACUGGGACUGAGACACGGCCCAGACUCCUACGGGAGGCAGCAGUGGGGAAUCUUGCGCAAUGGGCGAAAGCCUGACGCAGCCAUGCCGCGUGGAUGAUGAAGGUCUUAGGAUUGUAAAAUUCUUUCACCGGGGACGAUAAUGACGGUACCCGGAGAAGAAGCCCCGGCUAACUUCGUGCCAGCCGCCGCGGUAA
rnacentral:rRNA from 1 species